GUGUGUUUGUGUAGUGUGUUUAUGUAGUGUGCAUUAUAUAUAAUGCACAUAUAUAAUGCACACUACACAAACACACUGCAAUAUAUACACA